GCAGGCGUGGUGGAAUUGGUAGACACGCNNCGCUAGACUUAGGAUCUAGUGCCGUGAGGUGUGAGAGUUCGAGUCUCUCCGCCUGUA
rnacentral:tRNA from 1 species